GUCAGGUUUCCAUAGGAAACCAUGCUGUUGGAAGCUGAUUCUUCCAGAGGUCUAACACUAGCCUCUGUAAGUCAGGAAGGCAGCUUAGCAGGCCCACUGGGAAGUAGCAGAUGGAUAGGAAAAUGACAUGCUUUCCAAAAGUAUUUAAAUAUCAACUCUCUUUUGUUACAGCUGUGUAAGAGCCAUAUAAAAUCAAGUAACAUGUAGGAGAGAAAAGGGGUCAUGAAGGAGGAGUUUGAGCAAAAAGUAAUGCUAAAAAAGAAAAAAAAAUCCAUUGCAAAUGGUAAUGUAAAUAAGGUAAAACUUGAAAACUAUGAAGCAAUACUGCAGAUAGUCAUGUCUGAAGGAAUACCUAGAGGGUUCUUUUUGGUGGUGAUCUUCACUCCUGGAUCUGAAUUUUUCUGGACUGUCUCCCUUACCACUUCUGCAGGACACAAUUGCAACAGAAUUUUCCUUGAAUCAACGGAGGACUAUUACUUGAUGAGAUCAUUGUUUUCAGAUUUCCCCAGGAAGGAAAUACUGUCAACACAGUCAGUGUCUGAGUUUAUCCUCUCAGUGGAAAAGGUGGGUGAAAAACACUUAUUACUUCCUAUGUGCAUAAUUUAAACCUGUGAAACAUACUGCAGAAAUGUAAGGAGCCAUGAAUUUAGACACCGUUUUCAGCUAAAAUAAAGGUUAAAGUUUGUCUGUAGUGUAAGCCUGAGGUUGCAAAUACCCUCAGAAAAUGUUGAGUUUUGUGUGCAAAAGAGUAUGGUAGUGCAAGUCAGGCUGAAGGAGACAAAGUACAAAUUCAGAUAUUUCUAUCAGUAUUUACCUAAAAAUUAAAAAAUGAAACAAUAUUUUCCAAAGUACAGGCACACAGGCAGCAGGCUUGAAAAUUGCAGCAAUUCUCGGUUCUUUGCUUGUUCCAUUAUAUUUAUCAUAUGCUUAGUGCUUUAUGGGACUGGCAGCACAAAAUUUCUGAUUAGAAGUUUGUUCACUGUAGUUCAUCACAAAGUGCCUGUGUUCUUUAUGCUUGGUUGAACCACAAAGAUUCUUGCAGCAACAUUGUGAACAACUGGAUCCCAUAAUAUUUCAUGCAACAAAACUAUUGAACAGAAGGCAUGAUUUAGGUGCUAAAGUAUUUUAUGGCACAUAUUCUUAUGUGAUAUGGCUUAGAUAAGUUCAGAACUCUAUUCAGAACAUCCAGUCUUAGAAUAAGGGUUGAUAAGUUAUUUUGACAAAAAUCUGUUUACCUUCCAAAAAUGCAUACAUGCAGGACAAUCAGUGCAAACAAUGGACAGAGAAGAUAGUGAGUAAGAGAUUAAUUCAGAGAUCCUCAGUCAAAGAAAUAGUUCCACAUACUUUUUUAUUUUGUUUUGAGGAUAGGUAUGAUCCUACAAAGAAAUUUGCCACAAUCUUUUGAUAUUUAUGCAAAGGAGAACAGUUGACAGUAGAUAACAAUUUGAAUGCAGGCCUAAAUCAGGGGACAAUAAAACAUCACAGUAUAAGGAAGGCAUAGGUAUGCCAGCGUUAGCAAUGUCUAAAACCUACUCCGAAUUUGUGGUCACAGCACAAGGGAUAAAAUAGCAAUGUAGAAUUAGUAUGAUUUAAGAAAAUCGUAUAUGUGUCUUGACCUGCAGCUGACACCAGUUUAAAUUAUGCUGAAGAAUCAACUCUGACUCCUCAAUGCUACCAAAAUACUUUCUCCUGCAAACAAUGGAAUUAUCUCCUCCCACACAUACCAAGAUUCACUGGAAGUUCAAUGUAACUCAGCACAUGAAAGUAUUUGGGCAACAUUCAUUUCAUAUUUGUAAGUUGAAGUAAUAACAAGGAAAGGAGCUCUCUUGGGGACGGAUACGAAAUGUUCUGUGCUACCAAGAAAUGGAAAGAGGAAACUUGUAGAUGAUAAAGAUAAAAGUGCAAGAUGUACUGAAUGUCCUAAAGGGAAAGUAUACCCUGCAAAGCCCUCUGCUCGGCCAAUGUCUGUUGUCUGUUCUUUCUCUGGAGCUUUACUCACUAGAGAGCAUUACUCACUUAUAAAGUGAUUUAAGUGCAGGCCUCUUUGUCUUGUGGGUUUAUACAUUGGCUUUAGUCCUGUGUGCUUCUUAAUUUAAAUGCUAACUGAGAUCACAAAUGUCAUUGGGAGGUUUGUUCCCAAACAACCCUCUUGCCACUCAAGCCGCUUUGUAGCCUGAACUUUCCAGACAGGAGGUGUCUCUGGCCUUAUGAACACAAGAAUGUAAACCUGGAGAGAAGCCCCUCCAAGACAAUGAUUUAUGGGCAGCUGGAAUUUGCAUGCAUUGCUCCGAAUCUGUGGAAGAAUCUAUGUGGUUGUUCAUGGCCUUCAGAAACAUGGAUGCUGCAAAGCAGAGCUAUGGAGAAUAUGGAAAGCAGGCUCAAAAAGCAUCUGCAAAUCUGUGCCAAUAUUAUUGCCUCUGUCAUCAAGCAAUGGAAAGGUUUUUCUAGUUAAAUUCAAGUAAUUAAAUCUCCCUGCUCUCAUUAAAAAAAAUACAACUGUCUGCUGCUGGUCUGAAGAAUUGCACAGAGUGAACGUAAAUUUUAAUUUCAUGGUGCAAGUGUUAAAUUAUUGCCAUCUAAGCUGUCUGCCAGUGUUACAUGAAAUCCCACCACAUUUUAAUAAUUCUCCCUUUGUUUUGGAUGGAAAUACCACGUGUUGUGAUUUGGAAGUUUUUAUGUGCAAUUAGAGCCCUGAGAACUACAACAUAAUCACAUUCAAUUCACCUAAUUGGACAGCGAGGAAACUGUCAUUUCUGAAAUGGUUUGUGUCUUUUGGAAUGUCUGUGUGUAUACACAUGCGUAUAAAAUGAAACAUUUUCUCACCCAUCCUGUGUUAAAAUGUAAUAGAAACUCCUGCUAACUGAAGUUGAAGAUAUAGCUGGGUGUUCUUUAGUAACCUCAAAACAUAUACGUGUGCGUGUAAAUAAAAAACUGUCCUUCUAAACACAAGGAUCCUUCCCUCCUACUUACUUUGCAACAUCUUAGUAAGGAUUUGCCAUCAAUUCCCUCUCUUUACAGUGCAUUUGAUGACAUUUUACAGAUCAUCAUACUAAAUAAGUAAGAACCAUCCUCUGAUUUAGAAGAAAAACCUUUAUUUAUUUCAAUUUAUUUUGGGAGUUCAGAAGUAAUGACAAACUUGACAAUCUUCAUGACAAACAUGACAAUCUUCACAUCACUUUAAGCUGUGUGACCAAAAAGCCAUUAGCUUCACAGAAACAGACAAUACAUUUCAUCCUGAAACAACACUUAUGAUCAACAUUUAUGCAAUCUAUAGGUACUUCCUAUAUUUGUAUCAAUGCAAGUAAGAAGACAUGGAGUAUCAAACCAGCAAGGGCUUAGAAAUAUCAAGCCCAAGAGUUUACCCAUUUACUUCAGUGGAAAAUAGUGCUAGUAAAUAUCAAUACAUAUUUUAAUCUUUUAUUUCAGUAAUUUCCAUGUAAAAGCAAACAUAUUCUGCCAACUUUAUUCAUUGUCUUUGAUCUUUUUUUGAAGCAUAUUAUGAUAGAUUUCUGAAUCUUUUAAUUCAAUGUUGAAGUAGAUAUUAAGUAUAUCACAACACCAAUCCACACUAAAUAGAACUUUUGUUUUUUGUUCUUUUGCUGAAAUGUCUGACAGUAUUUCAAGAAUAAUUUAAUUAUGAACUUUAUAUUAACAAAAGACAAGUGAUUUUUUAUUCCAUUCAGUGUGGAAUAAGAUACUACCUAUAUUUGUUAAGCCCUGUGUAUCAACCAGAAUUUGCAAAGGGAAGUUAUCAACUUCAGAUACUCAUUCUCCAUUUCCCAUAAAUAUGUUAAAAAUACAAAGUCAGCUCCUAAGUUUUUCAUCAAAUAAACUAGCUUAUUAAGAUUAAGUGGCCUGAAACCACCAUCUGUGAGUUCACAUUUAUAUCUAGAAAACCUGUAUAAUCAUGUGUAUUGAGAGUAAGGCUUAGUGUUGGAAGGCCCAACCUUGUAAACAAGCUUUGUUUACACAAGAAGACAAUAGGACUCUUCUUUUGUUUCAGAGUUUACAUGUUCAGAGGCUGAGAUCACUAUUUUUGAAAUGUGAUGAUGGGAAUACAAAGUAAUUACCUUUAUGAAGGUUUUACAAAGAAUCCUGUAAGUAAAGCCCAUGACAGAAAUAUAUAGUGUCUCCAAAGAAACAAUUAUGAUGUAUUGUGUUUGAAUAAUAACUCAGAAUGUUUUAUCAUCAUCUGUUUACAUAAUAAGUCAUAAUAACUUUUCAAAAUAUGGUGCUUGCAUUUUUAUUAUUGUUUUAAGUGUACAUAGGGGAAUUACUACAGCCUAGAAUCAUAAACUUUGUAAAACUUUGUUGAAGACUGCAUUUUUAUUCCCAUCCUCUUCUGCUCAAACAAAAAUGUAAAGGAAACAACACACAAAUAAAAGUACGCUAAAAUAAUCCCAUGUGUCUGGCUAAAAGAAAAGACAGGAAAUUCUUAAAAGUGUGGUUAUAAACUGAAAAAUGCCUUUAAACAUGGCUUCCUACUGUCUCACAUUUAUAUAUUCAUAAUUAUUUCACUAUCAAUAUUUUCUUUGCUUAUAUGUACACAAAUUACAUUAUUCAACAUGCCAAGACCACAUUCUCAGUCUGAUAUCUGGAAUACAAAGCCCUGUUGUCACUGGCUUCUACUACAGUGUUAAAGAUGGAACUGAGAGAAAUUCCUAGAUUCCCUCUCCUGGAAACUUUAUGAUUUAAGCCUACUUCUGACCUUUAGCAAUAUUUCCUUGGGGAGACUGAGGUCCAAAUUAAACUUUCAGGAAUUACAAGAGAAAUUUCAAUGAACUCUAGAGAUGCCAGAAAGACAAAUGACAAAAGUAGUUAAAGCAAAAGUGCUGAGCACGUCUUAAGUGCUUCAAUUAGAACUCUUGUUCCCCACAGGAUGUUCCAGAAAGGUGUAGAGGUGCUCACAGACCCUCACAAUGGUUUCAGACAUCUAGCCCACAAAGUAGAAUCCAAAGCCAAGAUUAGAGAGCUGUUACCUACAGAGAACAGAUGAUGUUAUGUGAGAGGACUAACAAAGUAGAAACAUUAUGGAGUUAUCUAGAAUCUAACUCAUAAUUUUGAAAGUCAGAUAAUGCCAACCUAUGUAGUUGAGGCACUCUGUCACAGUGGAAGACUGUGGUUAUUUCCAUCCACUCAGUGUCCACAGACCAUCAAGGUAAUUCAAUUUUUGUUUCAAAGGCUCCGUUUUUUUAAAAAAACAUAACCACUGUUGAAGAUGAGAUGUUAAUAAUGGAACAUAGGAUUAUUCUUAGUUCUACUAUUUACUGAAAAAUAGACAUACAAACUGUGUGGGGCAAAGACAAAGGCCAGAAUCCUGCUUGCUCCAUAAAAAUUGUUUCCUUCCUCAUUUAUCUCCUUGAAUCUUAAUGAGUUUUGCAGUUGUAGUGCACAUCUGUACAGCUAUGUAGACUAGCCUGGGACCCAGUGGGUAAGGUGUGCCUCCUCAGAAAUUAGAGUUUAAAAUACCUGAGGUCAAAGCAGAUGUAAAAAGUUGUCUCCUUCUGAAAGGUUUCCAGUUUUAUUGGCAUAUACUACGUUUGUCUGAGUGCACUUUCCAGGUCUGUGCUAUAAGCUAACACUACCAUUUAUCUUCUGGAUUCCCAGACUGUUUAAGUCAGACAGAGGUACAUGCCCGCUUCACCCUGAGCCCUUCUGCGAAUGGUCAGAAACAGAAUACUGUGUGAUCUCAAAAAGAUUCAGAGCAAACAUGGAAGACAGUUAUGUUUAAAUGACACUCUGGUUGGGCAGGCACUGAACGCAGUAACAGUUUCAACAUAGACACCUUAAACCUUCCAGUAUUCUAUUUUAGGUUUGUUCUUCAUUCUUGCAUCACAGCAGGAGUUGUACCCUUUAUCAGUGUUGAUGUCUUCUUAAAAGAGGGUCUGUGACCGCAUUUGAAGUAUCUCUACUACCAGUUGUGGUGAUUUCACCCUGAUGUGCAGCUAAACUACUACAUCAUUCUCCUGUUACUCCUACUCAAAGGAAGAGGGGGAGAAAAUGAAAUGAAAAAAGGCUCAGGGUUUGAGAUUACCGUCACUGAUCAGUGAUUAUGAGAAUAAAUAAACAUAGUGUGGAAAAAUCUUUGUAUAGUCAUUAAAAUACCCAAGUGUGGCAUUCUAGUAGAGAUUUAAUAAGGAGAAGAAACUGACCCUCAGACUUAGGAAUUCAUUUUCUUUACUUUUCUACAAGGACAGACAUACAUCUCUCUAUCUAAUUUAUAUAUACAUACGUAUAUAUAAAGCAAAGCUUUUAAAGAAUUUUUAUUUAUCAUUGUAAAAUCUCUACUUAGAAUUGGAAAGAGAUAGAAAAAAAAAAAGUAGACUUUGAUUAUCACCUUGAUACAUCUAAGUGUUUACAGUGGGAGCUAAGCUGUAGCAUAGCAAUGUAAUAAAAAUAGAAAGUAAAGUGACGUAAAAAGUGCACUGAGGACUACCUUAUAACUAAUUCCAAACGUUCAAGAAUAGUAAAUGGUUAACAGUGAUGCAAAAGGAAAUUACAGAAAAAACAAUCAAAAAGGACUCCUAAACAAUGAAAGGAAACAAAAAAUUAAUAAAGCAGAAGACUGAAAAACAGAUAAGGAGAGCAAAACGGUGAAAGAUUUCACAGAAGAUUAUGAAAUUAGCACAAAAAAUUUUUAAACAAUCCUAAGAAUAAACUGUCAUUGAAGAACAGAAUAGGGAUUGUGGAGGAUCAUUUUUUAAGGGAUGAGGUAAAAAAAGAUGGAAAAUUUAAACAAAUUCUUCGCAUAGCUGUUCAGAAAGAAAUGUCAGCUCGCAGAGCUGUAGAAAUAUAGGUACAUAUUUUCUGGAGCAAAAGGAAGGAUAAAACACCUAAGUAAACACACACUGUAUGUGACAUAGUACAGAUGACAAUCUUAGCAUGUAUCACAUAAAAUAAUUUCUCAGUGCUAAAGCAUAUGCACUUCAGAAUUCACAGAAAGGGACAAAAAACAGCAUCACUCUUCACAAGACUAAUUUACAUCACUUCACCAUUCAGAUAACUUUUCCUUUUCAAAAUGUUGCUUUGAAGUCACAUGGGCUACUUACAUGACUGACAACUCUAGGACUGCAGUGAAAAAGAAGUUUCAGUGGAAUUAAAGAAAAAGUAACGGGAAGUGUGCAGGAGGUAUCUGUGCAAAGAAGGGCCCCAUGCAACUCCUCUCACAGCUUGCCUCUAAAAACUCAAGAACUGGGUUUAAAUGAGAGAAACACCUUGUCUUUCUGGCAAGUUUUAGCAAUGCCUUCUAUGCAGGAAAGCAAUUUGCUUCAAGACCAAACAGAAAUGCACACUGGUUAAGAGUGAUAUAUUACAAAAACAACAGAGUAUAGCUAAAUUCAGCAAAUUAUGAAGCAAUGGCUAUUUCAGUGAGAGUCAGAGAUUCGUCUAAUGAGAUCCAGGAGUUUCAGCUCUGAACAAAAAGUGAUGAAUUCAAGCUUAAAUUCCUACAAGUAACCCCUAUUCUACAUUAAAGGUAACCAUCCAUCACAUUUUUAACUACAUCUACAAGGGAGUUCAGUAACUUCAGUCUAAAAAAUUCAAAACACAGACAUAUUUUCAGCCAAAACAAAGCCAGAGCCAGCAGUAAUUUUAAUUCUUUUCACUAAGUAUUGUUCUGGCCAUAAGACUAUGUGUAAAAUGGAUGUGGUUGAAGCCACAAUGGACUGUAAGGUUUAUAGGAUGAACAAGUUGCUAAGGAAGAGCUUGCAUGCCUAAAAACUUACAUUAUUCCAGCUGGAGUGCAUCCUGUAACAACAGUACUUCUUUAUUCUUCCAUAUCUUCCCUAAAAAGCUGAGCGCUCUGGCUGAAGACAGGCCAGGAGAGGCGCAUGGAUGUUUGCCUUCUUCAUGUUGCCUGAAAACCUAGUCCUUGUCUCAUCUGGGAACAGGACAGUCAUGCCAAGUGGAUGCAUCUCCCUGCAUCUGUGGAGAGACAGCAAAUGUGCUGUCUGGAAAGUAUCUGUGUUCUAGGAGGUGAGAAACUGGCUUGGGCUGUUUGAUUUCACUUCUACUCAGAGAAAUGGGGCAAUGAACUUUCUAAUAAACAGGUUUGGUUCACAGAGGGAUGACUCCACCAUCGAUCAUUCCACCAGAGGAAUAACUCAAGAUUCGAAAAUUUUAACCAGAUAAUUUUAUCAAAAGAAUAAUAAAAAAAAAAAAAAAAAAAAAAAAAAAAAAAAGGACCAAGUAAUGACUUAAAACAAUUGCUGUGAUAUUACAUCUACAUAGGAUCUACUGGCCUAUAUGUCAGUUUUAAUCUGCCACUGGUUAAAUCCUACAUACUGAGCAAAAUAACUUACCAACACAAUACAUGCAAAGUAAAUAAAUACUCAAGCAACACUCUAUGUCCCACAUCCACUCAGAUACCAGAAGUGUGUAUUUCCAGUCUGUGAAAUACAAUGAUAAGUAAAAACAGUGAUUCUCCAUGAGUGCAUUACUCAGAAGAAGCAAUGUUAAGGCAGUCAGUGUGAUCUUUAAAAAUCACUCCCAGUAAAUAAAUAAAUAAGCACCUCUACCUGCACAGCUAUCUGAAGACAAGUUAACAAAUUCUGUUUUCCACUUAUUAGCAAAUCAGUUGUUCUGUAAAGAAUACAUGAUCAAAACCUACAGCAACAGCUGGCACAUGUAUAAAGCGGGGCAAAAAAAUUAAGAUGAAGUAUUUCUGACAAAAAAAUAUAUGAAACAAAACAAAGUUGAAAACUGAAGCAGAUAUCAGAUAACCAUUUUGUCAUUUAUAAAAUACUUUUUCAGGACAAAAGGGGUUGCCAUACCUUUUCACUCAGCAUAUCCUCAGAGUCACAUAUUAAGCUGAUCAAAUCCGAGGGUACUGCAGUAAGCUGAAGCUUGAAGCUGCCUCCACUUCCUUCAUUUCGUUUACAGUUUUGUUUGGGGGUUGUUCUUUUUUUUCUUUUUAGCUUGCAGAAACCUGAGGGAAAAAAAUAUUUUGGGGGUUACUAUCGAAAUAGUUUAUUCAGUAGUCAAUUAACUGAAAAAAACAAAUAGUUCUAAACUGAUCUCUUAUAUACCAUGCCCCUUUUUAUAUCAUAGUUAUUGGUUCCAUUCUGUUGUUAUAUUUUACUGAAAACAUUAUGAAUAUAAAUGAGAAUAGUGCACAAAGAGCAGAGGUGAAGAUAUGUCCCAUUAGAAAUCUGCUUUUUUACUUACAUUUACUGAGGUUAUCAAGUACCUCUUUAUGAACUCUUCAUCCCUUUCUAAAAGGUAAAGUUGAAAUUGGGAAAUAUAUUGCAUCAGUUAUUGGGCAUUCUGGGGUUUUCCAUUAUUUUAAAAACCUCCUAUGUGCCUAAUUAUAGCUAAUAAGUACUGUUUAGAAACAUAGCAGAGAACUCAUGAUUUCCUUCUUCACCCAAUGCCCAGAAAAUCCAUGUCCGAGAACAAAAUCUUGAAGGUAUUUGUGAUCAUGACCCAUUCUCAUUAUCUGUAUCCAUUCUAAGAUUUUUAUAUUAUAUGAAUGAAUAUUUUAAAGUGAAAUUAUAGUAUUCAAUGGCAAAUUACAACUACAUGUGACCAAGAGAGGAUUAAACCCAUCAUUUUGCUUAAGAGCUCUGAUGGCUGGAGUAAUUGGAUGAUAGCUGUAGGGCAUCUUUUUGGUCUGUAAUUAGGUCAUUUCUUUCUCAUCCCUUCACUGUGUGUAUAAUUACGAAUUAAUUUGAAAUCCCACUGUGAGUAAAGAAAGUCAGUUUAAUAUAACGGAAGUGCAAAAGCCACAAUAUAUUACUUUUUAAAAACUGCUUAUUUCAAAAUACUCAGUCUGGCCAAAAGUUAUAUCCCUAUGUACUGCAAGGCUUAUAUUUGGUUUCUUUGCUAACUUUGUACAAGUGCUGCUCUGAAAGUAAUGCCUCCUGUUUUAUUAUGUUGGUGUGCAAUGUCAGAGGUGGAUUUUGGUGGUACAUCAGGAGAGGUUGAACCUUCACACCAGUAUUCCACUACAUUUUGUUGCUGUGUGACAGAUGGCAGCAGAGGGUCAGUCUGACAAAAUGGCUUCUGACACGGAAGCAUCUGAGAAGAAAAGAUGUGGAACUGAAUUCCUCCAUGUGGUAAAAAAAUUGCAUCCAUUGACUUUCACUGAUGCUUGCUGAACAUUUAUGGAGAUCAAACAGUGGAUGUGAGCUCAGUGAGGUUGUGGGUAAUGUGUUUCAACAGCAGUGAUAGUGGCAGUGGUUCACCUCCACCGGUGCAAAUUUUUACAAGAACAGCAAGCAGGUUCUCGUUCAUCGUUGGCAAAAAUGCAUAGCUAAUGACAGUGAAUAUGCAGCAAAAUAAAGUUUGUAUUUGAGAAUUUUCUCUAUGAAAUAGUGUUAUUGUGCUCUUUGUAUUUGUUGCAGUUUCUAUGGAAAUAAACAGCAAGUAUUACUUUUGAAUCAAUCUACGUUCCUGGAUGUAUUUUCUCUCUUAAAAUAAAUGAAUUUUCAAAGCACCACACUUUGCUCCAGUAUCUGUCAGUAGGUGUCAACAGCACAAAAAGGUAGUGGAAAGAAAUAAAAAGUAACCAUGAGAGUCUUGACAGACAGUAUUAGCAUCAGAGAACUUAGAGGCCACUCUCAACACAGUCAACCAUUUUAUCCUUUAGUCCUGCCAUUAUUUCCUUCCACUGAAACUACCUUUCUGCUUUUACCCUGAAAGUGUUAAACACUG
ensembl:lncRNA